UGCGUAGGUGGUAGGGUAAGUCGGAUGUGAAAUCUCGGAGCUCAACUCCGAAACGGCAUUGGAAACUACCCAACUUGAGGGUCGGAGGGGGGACUGGAAUUCUCGGUGUAGCAGUGAAAUGCGUAGAUAUCGAGAGGAACACCAGUGGCGAAGGCGAGUCCCUGGACAACUCCUGACACUAAGGCACGAAAGCUAGGGGAGCAAACA
rnacentral:rRNA from 1 species